rnacentral:tRNA from 1 species
GGGGACUUAGCUCAGCUGGUAGAGCACCGCCUUUGCAAGGCGGGGGUCAGGGGUUCGAGCCCCCUAGUCUCCACCA